rnacentral:rRNA from 1 species
AUGCAAGUCGAGCGAACGGACGAGAAGCUUGCUUCUCUGAUGUUAGCGGCGGACGGGUGAGUAACACGUGGAUAACCUACCUAUAAGACUGGGAUAACUUCGGGAAACCGGAGCUAAUACCGGAUAAUAUUUUGAACCGCAUGGUUCAAAAGUGAAAGACGGUCUUGCUGUCACUUAUAGAUGGAUCCGCGCUGCAUUAGCUAGUUGGUAAGGUAACGGCUUACCAAGGCAACGAUGCAUAGCCGACCUGAGAGGGUGAUCGGCCACACUGGAACUGAGACACGGUCCAGACUCCUACGGGAGGCAGCAGUAGGGAAUCUUCCGCAAUGGGCGAAAGCCUGACGGAGCAACGCCGCGUGAGUGAUGAAGGUCUUCGGAUCGUAAAACUCUGUUAUUAGGGAAGAACAUAUGUGUAAGUAACUGUGCACAUCUUGACGGUACCUAAUCAGAAAGCCACGGCUAACUACGUGCCAGCAGCCGCGGUAAUACGUAGGUGGCAAGCGUUAUCCGGAAUUAUUGGGCGUAAAGCGCGCGUAGGCGGUUUUUUAAGUCUGAUGUGAAAGCCCACGGCUCAACCGUGGAGGGUCAUUGGAAACUGGGAAAACUUGAGUGCAGAAGAGGAAAGUGGAAUUCCAUGUGUAGCGGUGAAAUGCGCAGAGAUAUGGAGGAACACCAGUGGCGAAGGCGACUUUCUGGUCYGUAACUGACGCUGAUGUGCGAAAGCGUGGGGAUCAAACAGGAUUAGAUACCCUGGUAGUCCACGCCGUAAACGAUGAGUGCUAAGUGUUAGGGGGUUUCCGCCCCUUAGUGCUGCAGCUAACGCAUUAAGCACUCCGCCUGGGGAGUACGACCGCAAGGUUGAAACUCAAAGGAAUUGACGGGGACCCGCACAAGCGGUGGAGCAUGUGGUUUAAUUCGAAGCAACGCGAAGAACCUUACCAAAUCUUGACAUCCUUUGACAACUCUAGAGAUAGAGCCUUCCCCUUCGGGGGACAAAGUGACAGGUGGUGCAUGGUUGUCGUCAGCUCGUGUCGUGAGAUGUUGGGUUAAGUCCCGCAACGAGCGCAACCCUUAAGCUUAGUUGCCAUCAUUAAGUUGGGCACUCUAAGUUGACUGCCGGUGACAAACCGGAGGAAGGUGGGGAUGACGUCAAAUCAUCAUGCCCCUUAUGAUUUGGGCUACACACGUGCUACAAUGGACAAUACAAAGGGCAGCGAAACCGCGAGGUCAAGCAAAUCCCAUAAAGUUGUUCUCAGUUCGGAUUGUAGUCUGCAACUCGACUACAUGAAGCUGGAAUCGCUAGUAAUCGUAGAUCAGCAUGCUACGGUGAAUACGUUCCCGGGUCUUGUACACACCGCCCGUCACACCACGAGAGUUUGUAACACCCGAAGCCGGUGGAGUAACCUUUUAGGAGCUAGCCGUCGAAGG